rnacentral:rRNA from 1 species
UUACCCCGCCGGAAUUAAGCAUAUCACUAAGCGGAGGAAAAGAAACUAACAAGGAUGCGCUUAGUAACGGCGAGCGAACCGCGCAAAGCCCAACUUGAAAAUCUCCCUUGGAGAAUUGUAGUCUAUAGAAGUACCCUCUGCAACGGGCCGAGCUAAAGUCUCCUGGAAAGGGGCGUCAGAGAGGGUGAGAACCCCGUAAGCUCGCGCUUAGUUGCCUCACGAGGUGCUUUCGAAGAGUCGGGUUGCUUGGGAAUGCAGCCCAAAUUUGGUGGUAAAUCCCAUCUAAGGCUAAAUACUGGCGAGAGACCGAUAGCGAACAAGUACCGUGAGGGAAAGAUGAAAAGAACUUUGAAAAGAGAGUUAAAAAGUGCUUGAAAUUGUUGAGGGGGAAGCGUUUGAAUGCUCGGGUGCGCUCAGGCUUAUGGGUCCUUAACGGGGCUCUGUAUGUGCUGAGUGCUGGCCAGCAUGGGUUAGGCUAGUGGGACAAAAGCGUGGGUUGAUACCAUGCCGCUGCCACUGGCCUGACCAAGGCGUGAAGACUGCCCUUGUCCUUCGGGAACUGCAGUCUCAAGAUGCUGGAAAGUUCACCCCCC